rnacentral:rRNA from 1 species
GGCGGCGUGCCUAACACAUGCAAGUCGAACGCGAAAGGGACUUCGGUCCUGAGUAAAGUGGCGCACGGGUGAGUAACGCGUGGGUAAUCUGCCCCUCAGUUGGGAAUAACCCAUCGAAAAGGUGGGCUAAUACCGAAUAAUGCUGUAUCGCCUCGGUGAUUCAGCCAAAGACGGCCUCUGCUUGCAAGCUGUCGCUGAGAGAUGAGCCCGCGUACCAUUAGCUUGUUGGUGGGGUAAUGGCCUACCAAGGCGGCGAUGGUUAGCUGAUCUGAGAGGAUGAUCAGCCACACUGGAACUGAGACACGGUCCAGACUCCUACGGGAGGCAGCAGUGAGGAAUCUUGCGCAAUGGGGGAAACCCUGACGCAGCAACGCCGCGUGAGUGAGGAAGGUCUUCGGGUCGUAAAGCUCUGUCGGGUGGAAAGAAACGCAUGGGUGCUAAUACCAUCUAUGCUUGACGGUACCGCCAAAGGAAGCACCGGCUAACUCCGUG